rnacentral:rRNA from 1 species
UAAGGAAUAUUGCUCAAUGGGAGAAAUCCUGAAGCAGCAACGCCGCGUGGAGGAUGAAGGGUCUAUGACUUGUAAACUCCUGUAAAGAAGGAAAAAAUUCCCAUUUGAUGGGAGAUGAUGGUACUUCUGGAGUAAGCCCCGGCUAACUACGUGCCAGCAGCCGCGGUAAUACGUAGGGGGCAAGCGUUGUCCGGAUUUACUGGGGGUAAAGGGUGCUCAGGCGGAUUUGUAAGUCAGAGGUGAAAUCUUACAGCUUAACUGUGAAACUGCCUUUGAUACUGCAAGCCUAGAGUAUGGAAGAGAGUGAUGGAAUAUCUGGUGUAGCAGUGAAAUGCGUAGAUAUCAGAUAGAACACCAAUGGCGAAGGCAGUCACUUGGUCCAUUACUGACGCUAAAGCACGAAAGCGUGGGUAGCAAACA